rnacentral:lncRNA from 1 species
CAUUGGUGCUUAUUGCCAUUUGAGAAGUCGUCUCACUGGAUGUACAAGUAGACAAAGAAUGCCAUCUAGUGGCUACGGACACUAUACCUUGAGCUCGAUGCGAUACCUUGGUAGCAGCAUGUAGGCAUAUCACUAGUCCAACAAGCUCAACUAUAGCAGUAACCUUAUAUCAGAAGUACCAAAAUCACAUGACACACAAUACGAUUUAGAAUGGAGCUUACUGAAAUAUCAUCAUUAUAUAUAAGCUUGAACAAUAUGGCGAUAGUACUGACCCCAAAAUCAGCUCCAUUGAUGAGA